rnacentral:rRNA from 1 species
AUGAGUCGUCAUGAUGGCAUCAACAUCCCCGAUGGCAAGUUCUACCUUGGAGAUGCUGGCUAUGCAUGUCCGCCAGGUGUUCUUCCACCCUUCAGAAAAACCAGGUAUCAUCUGAACGAGUUUGCUGGUAUGAACUAUCCCAGGCUCCUUGAACUGUUCUAUCUCAGACACUCCAGCCUUAGAAUGACUGUUGAGAGGGCAUUUGCAACUUUCAAGAAAAGGUUUAAGAUCCUGGAUCAGAAGCCAUUCCACCCUUACGCUACCCAGGUGAAGCUUGUUCUUGCAUGUUGCAUCAUUCACAACUGGAUCCUGCAAUGGGGAGUUGAUGAAUUUGUGUCGGAGGAGGAAGAUGUGACUCCUGAUGAGGUGAUCAGCUCCGGCCAUGGUAUGGAGGAAUUCGACAACGAAGGAUGAAAGAACAAAAGGUUGGAGUGGGCUCAGGAAAGGAUAACAGAGGUCGGACAAGGACCUGAAGCAGAAGAACAAGAGGAAGAAGAAGGAAGAGGGAGCAGCAAAAGCGAGGAAGAGGAAGCAACACAUAAGCAGCAGAGGAAGAGGAAGCACAUAGUUAGCAUCAUUGAACUAUCCUUAUUUAGCCAUGCUGGCUCUUAA